rnacentral:lncRNA from 1 species
GAUAAAGCUGAAAAAUCACGGGGAAUAACAUGUAGGUCACAGAUAUCUGUUCUGUAGGAUGCCUUGCAAGCCUUAUGCAACCAAAAGACCCACUAUGACUUUAAGACAAAAUUUAAACAGCAGUUGAUGCUAAUCACCAAUCCAAGCUUGCAAACUUCUAAAAGACACUAUCUGACAUAUGAGCUUGCUUCCAAAAUGAUCUGUGUUAAUACCUCUUUCCUCAAUAAAACACCAAUAUUUUCGUUUGUUCUCUGGACACAUCAGAGACUGCUCAGUCUGGUGUAUCUGAUUACAUAUUCAGUCUGCUAUCAUUCUAUCUUUCCACUCUUUUUCAUGUAGGGUUUCCUUUCUCAAGGAUUUAUUUCUAUAAUUUUAUUUAGUGAUGACAACGUGAAUCGAACUGCCAGUAUGACAUCUCAGUCGGGGUACUUUAUUUGAAACUCUAUUCAAACUAAGCAUUCUGUUAUCAUUCUUGUUCUGGAGUCUUGUUCUAGGCCAUUCUACCUCAGCACUUAGAGCGUUCGUCCUCUCUCAAGUGACAGCAAACAGGCUGAUUGCUGAGUUUUAUCUCUUGCUUUUCCUUCAUCCUGAGGCAAAGUCAAUCAAAGAUUCCUAAGUCUACUUAAGUGUCCUUAUCCCCACGAUACCAACCAAGUCCAAACUAACAUUACUCCUUUUCAUGACUAGUUCAGCAAGUCUCCUAACAUUAAUCAUUUAAGUAUUUUUAUUCAUUGUGUGCAUAUAUGAUGUGUGUGUUACAUGCACAUGUCAGCCAGGGAAAAGUUCUGUGGAGUCAGUUCUCUCUUUCCACUUUACAGGGACUCUGGGGAUUGAACCUAGGCAAUUGGUGUUGUGCUGAAAGUAUGUUGCUAAAAUGAGAUAUCACUCUGGCUGUUAUUUUUACAGCCCUUCUUGUUCUGUAUCAUUCCAAUAUCCACCAUAUAAGAUUCAUCUCAAAAUAGUAUCUUAAAUGUCCAAAUAUACAGAAAAAUUGAAAGAACUUUAUAGGAAAUACUAUUGUAUCCAUGACCUAGCAUUAGCACAUGACUGUACUUGCCUGUCAUUAUAGAGGUUAUAUCUGACCAUCCUGAGUGAUCUAUACAACUUUCCAUGGGCUUUCAACUGAAAUGAAAACAAAACACAAAGUAUUGUAUAUGGCCCAGCCUAAGAAGGCCACUGCCUUUUCCCCAGGCUGUGCCCCCCCUCCCUGUCCUCCCUUCCUCUUUAGUCCCCUUGUGUACUCUUCUGGUCUUCAUCUCCAUAAAUAAUCCCAGUCUUGAAUGCUACUUCCUCAGGAAAACCUUCUUGAUCCUGUUCUGAAGCUGGCCUUUAUUUCCCCUCCACUGCACCUAUCACAAUUACAAUAAAUUAUUCAUGCAAUAAAUCUGAUGCCUAUGUCUGCUACCUUCCCGUUAUGUAAGAUUCAUGUAAGAUUCAUGAGGGCUGGAGCAACACAUGUUCGUAAGUCUAUCCCCAGUGCUUAGCUGAAAGUAGCUGAUCCAAACUUUUGUUAAAUAAAUAAAAAGAGAACAAAUAUAACAUCACAAAACCUUACAUUAGCAAACACAUUUUUCUUUUCUGUUAAUUAAUUUAUUUACUUACUUUACAUCCCAAUCACAUUUUUUUAAACCACCAUUUCAAAGUGAGUGUGGGAAGGAGCAAACGGAGCAAGGGUGGUUAGGGACCUGCAUAACUAGGGAUUUGGGUCACUGACUGCAUGAAAUGGGGACUACUGAGAAUUCUGUGCUGAAGAAAGACAAAAUAGCAUGUAUUUUAACAGCAUCCCUCUGACUGCUGUAUCCAGUAUUUGGGGGAGAGAUAGCAACUUUCAGGACUCAGGCCAUUUUCUCCUACAAGUAACAAAAUAACAAUCUAAAGGUUAUAGAAGAAUGUAACUGGCCUGUCACUCAAAAGCCUAGAAGGAGGGCUUUUACUUUAGUUUGCACAGCUGUGUUCUUCAUUCAGGCUAGCUAUACCCUGGAUUAAGACUACUGAUGUUUCAUCACCGUUAGAGGCACAGUGCUUAUGGUUAGCAGGGUAUCUGGGUGAAAGUUGUGGAAGGCAGAGAAUGUUGGCAAACUAUCUAAAAGUAAAUGACAGACAUUAGCUAAGUUGGUGAACUGUGUCAAUGCUUACUAGGAAAUCUGUAGAUACU